rnacentral:misc_RNA from 1 species
UGUGGGAGCGAGCUUGCUCGCGAUGGCGGCAGGUCAGCCAAAUGAAUAUCGGCUUGGACACCCUCAUCGCGAGCAAGCUCGCUCCCACA